UCACCGCCGCCGCCCUGUGUCAGAGUCACGACAGUGUUACAGCCUACGAGUUUGCAUGCUACAACCAGGGCUGUUUUUCAUGACCCAGCUGUGUGCUGUUUGGUUCAUCCUCCCUCCCCAGCAUGUCUUACAGCUUCCUGAACUGCAUGUUCCUCAGCACAGUGUAAUGUGUGUCGGCCUCAGGUUUCCGCUUGUGCUCUCAUGUCUACGGUUUGUCUCUUGCUUGUAAAAGCAAAUUGUGCAAGUUACACAUUGUUCUUCCCAGUGAGGAUGAACGCAAUUUGAAAAAAAGUCAUUCAUAGUCAUUACUGGCUGUCCCGUCUCAUCAUCUAGCUAUAUUUGUGUUAUUGCUACUAGUUGCGAAAUGGCAGUGGAUUCCUUGCCUCUGGCAUUUCUGCCUAUGGUACAACUGCUGCCACAGGCUUUCAGUUGUCCAUUGCGGUCACUCACUUAAUUCAUUAUUGGAUGUCAAUUGGACCAUCUGUACUUGUCAAGUUGCAUAUGUGAAUGCCAAUUAUCUUGAUGUCAUCAUCUUGUCUAAUCAUGUGCUUUUAAGCAAAUCAAGUCGAAUUGAACUUCAUGUAACCUUUUUAGUUCAGCAGCAGUAU